GACGAUCAAAGAAAGACCGGACUCCAGAGGAAAUAGCAGCAAACGACCAAAGAAGGAAAGAGAACAACCGGCGUGCAGCUGAGAGGACAAGGUUGAACAGGCUG
rnacentral:ribozyme from 14 species